rnacentral:lncRNA from 1 species
GACAAAACUGGAUGUUCCCUCCAUCCCCAAAAGUCCAAGUAAAUAGUGUUGCCACAUUGAAACUAAGAGCCUUUGGAAAUCUGGACUUGAACCUUAAAAAUAAUUUCCAAAGCUGUGGACAAGGAAUUACGAGAAAGCAUUUCUUACCAGUUUCAGAGCAUUAUCACAAGAAUAGAAUUCAGUGAACCAUUUGUAUCAGUUUUGUGUUAUUUCUUUUCUUCUUGGUAUUCGACUUGCUAUUUUAGAAAUUAUGGAUCCGGAUGAGCAAUUGGAAACCCUUCAUGAAGCACUGAAACUACUGCCACCUGCUCACUGCGAAACCCUCCGGUACCUCAUGGCACAUCUAAAGAGAGUGACCCUCCACGAAAAGGAGAAUCUUAUGAAUGCAGAGAACCUUGGAAUCGUCUUUGGACCCACCCUUAUGAGAUCUCCAGAACUAGACGCCAUGGCUGCAUUGAAUGAUAUACGGUAUCAGAGACUGGUGGUGGAGCUGCUUAUCAAAAACGAAGACAUUUUAUUUUAAAUUUUUAAUUUGAGGGGAAAAGAAAUGUUUUACAGAUGAAGGAAUGUUUUAUAGUAAUUUAAUUUGCUCCUGUAGCUGCAUUAUUUCUUGAUUAGAGGUUUGGGCAUAUAACCAGAUUAAAGUGAAGGAACUUUCUGUUGUUUUUGUAGCACCGCUCAGCUGUCUUGUAAAACAGUGAACACACGCUUUCUGGUUCUAGUAAUCCUGGGUGUUUAUCAC